CAAAGGUAGCAUAAUCACUUGCCUAUUAAUUGUAGGCUAGAAUGAAAGGGUUAACGAAAUAAAAACUGUCUCAAUUAGCCACCUAAAAAUUAUUCUCUAUCCGAAGAAAGAUAGAUACCCUCGAAGGACAAGAAGACCCUAUAGAGCUUCAUUUUACUUAUAGAAUAUACUAUAAAAAUAUUCGGUUGGGGCGACCCAGGGCUAAAUAAUCACCCACUAUAUAAAAGAUAGAUAAAUCUAAUAAAUGACCCUAUAAAGAUCACAAAAACAAGCUACCUUAGGGAUAACAGGCUAAUCCCAUUCAAGAGUCCUUAUCAACAAUGGGGCUUGGCACCUCGAUGUUGGCUUAGGGUAUCUAUAUAGCGCAAAAGUU
rnacentral:rRNA from 1 species